rnacentral:lncRNA from 1 species
GACUUCUGGGCGACCCAAACCCAAUUCUGGGCGCCCAAAACUGAUAAAACUCCAGUUUUGCUUAUUUGAGUGGGUUAAGUCCAUUUCUGCAUCCAUUUCGUGCAGAAACGACUCCGACUCCGUCCGACACUCUCCAAAUGUGUCGACCAGUCGCUAAUGCUGUAGCCAAUCCUAUCCAAAACUCCGAAACACUACAUUUUAAUUUAAAAUUUUAAUUCAAAUUUAAAUUUUCUAUUUUCAUUUAAUUUCAAUAAUGAGUUCGAUUUGAAAUUUGAAUUCGAAUUAUGAAUUCAAAUGUUCAGUUGGAAUUUAAAUUUAAAUUUAAAUUAUUA